rnacentral:rRNA from 1 species
UACGGAGGGUGCAAGCGUUAAUCGGAAUUAUUGGGCGUAAAGGGCGCGUAGGCGGAUUUAUAAGUCUGGUUUGAAAUACCGUGGCUCAACCACGGUGCGGGACUGGAAACUAUAAGUCUAGAGGGUAGACGGAGAAAACGGAAUUCCAAGUGUAGCGGUGAAAUGCGUAGAUAUUUGGAAGAACACCGGUGGCGAAAGCGGUUUUCUAGUUUAUUCCUGACGCUGAGGCGCGAGAGCAAGGGGAGCAAACAGG